UACGGAGGGGGCUAGCGUUGUUCGGAAUUACUGGGCGUAAAGGGGCUGUAGGCGGCCAACUAAGUCCGACGUGAAAUCCCAAGGCUUAACCUUGGAACUGCGUCGGAUACUGGAUGGCUUGAAUUCGGGAGAGGGAUGCAGAAUUCCAGGUGUAGCGGUGAAAUGCGUAGAUAUCUGGAGGAAUACCGGUGGCGAAGGCGGCAUCCUGGACCGACAUUGACGCUGAAAGCCGAAAGCUAGGGGAGCAAACGGG
rnacentral:rRNA from 1 species